GGUAAAGUGGCCGAGUAUUAGGCGGUAGGCUGUAAAUCUACUUACAUUGGUUUAGCCCUUUCUUUACU
rnacentral:tRNA from 1 species